rnacentral:rRNA from 1 species
UGGGAGCCCCACCACUAAGCCAGUGGUGAACUCCACAUACGCAUCCUUUGCUGAGGAUACGGUUAACGGAGCGAAAGCGACGUUCAACCGCAAAAGAAGCAGAGGGGGCUUAGUGGUGGGGUGACUGCGUACCUUUUGUAUAAUGGGUCAGCGACUUAUAUUCUGUAGCAAGGUUAACCGAAUAGGGGAGCCGGAGGGAAACCGAGUCUUAACCGGGCGUUAAGUUGCAGGGUAUAGACCCGAAACCCGGUGAUCUAGCCAUGGGCAGGUUGAAGGUUGGGUAACACUAACUGGAGGACCGAACCGACUAAUGUUGAAAAAUUAGCGGAUGACCUGUGGCUGGGGGUGAAAGGCCAAUCAAACCGGGAGAUAGCUGGUUCUCCCCGAAAGCUAUUUAGGUAGCGCCUCGUGAAUUCAUCUCCGGGGGUAGAGCACUGUUUCGGCUAGGGGGCCAUCCCGGCUUACCAACCCGAUGCAAACUGCGAAUACCGGAGAAUGUUAUCACGGGAGACACACGGCGGGUGCUAACGUCCGUCGUGAAGAGGGAAACAACCCAGACCGCCAGCUAAGGUCCCAAAGUCAUGGUUAAGUGGGAAACGAUGUGGGAAGGCCCAGACAGCCAGGAUGUUGGCUUAGAAGCAGCCAUCAUUUAAAGAAAGCGUAAUAGCUCACUGGUCGAGUCGGCCUGCGCGGAAGAUGUAACGGGGCUAAACCAUGCACCGAAGCUGCGGCAGCGAACGUAUCACUUAAAGCGAUUCAGCGGGUUACGAUUGACGGAGCGAAGCGACGUCAAAGCGUAUACAAAGUCGAGUCGGUUUAAGGAUACGUUCGUUGGGUAGGGGAGCGUUCUGUAAGCCUGUGAAGGUGGCCUGUGAGGGUUGCUGGAGGUAUCAGAAG